CAGUACAUUUUGAUACUCUCGGGAUUAAUGGAUAACUUGGAAGCAUGGGCAGUCUUGAGUUCAUCAUCCGAGAUCCUAAAAUUAGGAGAUUUGUCAAAAGUAAACUUACCCAGAUUCUUGAUGAGUUCUGGGUCUGUGGCGUGUGCUUCCUAGAUCUAUAUAAAGAGAUUCGGUAUGGCUCAUAUCUGGGUGAGAUAGGUGCCUUUACCGUAAUAGCUAAGGCAGAGCGAUUGUACAAUGUCCAUUGUCUUCCAACUGAAGGCUAUGGUUUGAGCCAGCACAGCAGGCUCCUUUCG
rnacentral:lncRNA from 1 species